AACGAACGCUGGCGGCAUGCCUAACACAUGCAAGUCGAACGAUCCCUUCGGGGAUAGUGGCGUACGGGUGCGUAACGCGUGGGAACCUGCCCUUAGGUUCGGAAUAACUCAGAGAAAUUUGAGCUAAUACCGGAUAAUGUCUUCGGACCAAAGAUUUAUCGCCUUUGGAUGGGCCCGCGUUGGAUUAGCUAGUUGGUGGGGUAAAGGCCUACCAAGGCGACGAUCCAUAGCUGGUCUGAGAGGAUGAUCAGCCACACUGGGACUGAGACACGGCCCAGACUCCUACGGGAGGCAGCAGUGGGGAAUAUUGGACAAUGGGCGAAAGCCUGAUCCAGCAAUGCCGCGUGAGUGAUGAAGGCCUUAGGGUUGUAAAGCUCUUUUACCCGGGAUGAUAAUGACAGUACCGGGAGAAUAAGCCCCGGCUAACUCCGUG
rnacentral:rRNA from 1 species